UCAUUAUGAUGCAGGAUGAAGACCUCACUCCAAGCUCAGGGAUGAAGCUGAAGGCACCUAGAAGAUGCCAUCCUCCAUCUCUACCUGUGGUGAAUCCGCACGGAUGUGGAUUGAGAGAGGGAACAUAUAAAGCAAUAAUUUUCCAGGAGUCUGUGCUACAGCAUCGCACUGCAUCUAUUCAUCAGGCCCCGUGACUGUGGGCAUAACAAGGCGGAGAAAAGGGUCAGCCUGAGAAUUUUGGCUCGCCGGCUUCACAGAGCCAAACAAAAAAACCUGACCCACCCAAGAAGGCCUCAGAAAAUGAUCAGAGCAUGUGUUUUGUCCUUGAAAUUUCUGCUAUUCUUUUGAUUUAUAAGCAGUCCAAAGAAGGAUCCUAUAAAUUAAAACAUAUACUCCUGCAUCUUAAUUUUCAUUCAGACCCCAGCGGUAGAUUUACAGUCAUUCAAGACCUACUCCAUCAUAAUUAAAUUGUACUUGUCAGCUUUUUAUUGCUACUCUUGGAGAUAAAUCCUUAUGCUGGAGGUUCCCACAGUGAGUAUCAUCACGGCCUCUUGCUCAUAUCCUGGAGAGGGGUUUCUGACAGAAUCGUAACUCCAGCAGAUCUUGGAUGACUUUCCUUCAGCUUAUCUCUUCAUCACAAGACACCAUUAUUUUGUUAUCUAAAAAUAUUCUGAUUGCUUUUGUUUCUUCAAAGUUUUCCAGAGCUUUUUUUUUCUCAUUCUUUUUCCCUCUCUCCCUCCCUCCCUCACAUCUCUCCUUCCUUCUAAGAAAUAAAAAUGAA